CACCAGCCCCGGGUGCAACGACGCCCCGGCUCCCCUCCCGCACCGCGCCUGCGCUCUCUGCUCGCCGCGACACUUCCCAGCCCUCCGCCCGCCCAACCCGGCUCCGCCUUCGUCCGGCCGGAGCCCCCAGACUUCUGGCCGCGCGUCCUCACGUGGACAGAAAGAAGGCACUGCUCCUCUAGAAAAUGCCGCUCGCCUGACAACCCUCUUUCCGCCUCCCUUCUUCGCGCCUAGCCUCGUCCCCUCGCUCCGGGCAGGUGCAGGUCCAGGUCGCGCGGGGCCAGCCUGCCCACAGUCUCCGCAACCUUAGUCGAAUCCCCUCCUUCCUGCGUUCUCUUGCCCCCUUUCCCAUCCGCGUUCUCCGUCCUGCGCCUCCUUCUCGGGCCUAAAGCUCCGCUGGAUCUCCGGCUCGGAGCUCGGGAUCCCCGCAUCUCCGCCCCUUGCCGGGGCUUCGCGUCCGGUACCCCUGCCUGUCCGUCCGAAGCGCCUCCCGUGCGGAAAUCGACAAAAACCGCCGCCCGCGCAUACUUGAGCCUAAGUUAUCCGCAGGAGGGUGGGGGGGAGAAGCCAUAGAUCUUAAUAAACAGUGGGUCACGUGGUGUCUUGGAAGCGGUACCUGCUGGGGCAAAUCAGACACGGAGGAGGAGGGUCUGCGACUUGGGUAGGAGGGUCUGUCGGAGAAGGUCUGGGAGCACGGAUCUCGGAUAGCCGGCGAUCUGCCGGAUCGUCACUGAGGAAUCCUCCCUGCCCCCAGCAGAAGUCACUUUGGAGCCAGUGCCCCGGCCGCAAAGGGCGAUGCCUGAGCGCCGGGUGGAAAUGUUGGGAGCGGUGUCCUCCCCCGGAGCCGCUAUCUCACCCGAGACUUUUGAGAGGAUCGUUACCGACCUGGACACGAACGGGAUACGUCCAGCGGGACUGGCUGGAGGAAUGAUCACCACCCCUCUGGCGGUACGUUGUGGUAUGGUACGCUGUAAAAUGGACGCUGGAAAGACCUUUGUAAUAUAUUAAGAAAAAAUAGGAAAUUCCCUGGCUGUCCAGUUGUUAGGACUCGGUGUGUCACUGCCGCUGCCCAGGUUUGACUCUCCGGAGGGAAUUAAGAUCCCGCAAGUCAGAGGGAAUGUCCAAGAAAAAAAAAGGAACGGAAUGAUCCCAAUUUUCUGAAUAUAAAAAUAUUUAUUACAAACCUA